AGAUUAAUAGAAAUUAAGUCAUAGAACUGAUUCGUAAUCAGUAGGUCGGGUGUUCGAGUCACCUCAGGAGCACCA
rnacentral:tRNA from 1 species